rnacentral:rRNA from 1 species
AUUGAACGCUGGCGGCGUGCCUAACACAUGCAAGUCGAGCGGUAACAGGUGUAGCAAUACAUGCUGACGAGCGGCGGACGGGUGAGUAACGCUUGGGAAUCUGCCUGUUAGUGGGGGACAACCCGGGGAAACUCGGGCUAAUACCGCAUACGCACUACGGUGGAAAGCCGGGGACCGCAAGGCCUGGCGCUAACAGAUGAGCCCAAGUCGGAUUAGCUAGUUGGUAGGGUAACGGCCACCAAGGCGACGAUCCGUAACUGGUCUGAGAGGACGACCAGUCACACCGGAACUGAGACACGGUCCGGACUCCUACGGGAGGCAGCAGUGGGGAAUAUUGGACAAUGGGCGAAGGCCUGAUCCAGCGACGCCGCGUGGGUGAAGAAGGCCU